UUUCUUAAAGCUAACUUGCAUAAAGCUAAUUUAGAUAAUUGUGUCUCCCAAGGCCCUGCGGCAGCUGCUGGUCCCCCUCAGAGGGGACAGCCGCUGUCUAAGUUGCUAGCUUGUCUCUAAGCAGCUUUCUCCAAUCUCAUUUCAUUAUUUUCUUUUUUAGGCUCCAAUUGACAAUGGUUCAAAAAUCACCAGCUACCUUUUAGAAUGGGAUGAGCUAGAUGAACGGUCUCUGUGUUCUCCCAGGGAAAGAGGAACAGUGGAUUCAGACAGUGUUUCUUUGGGGGCCAGAAGCACUGCAAGUUGACCAAGCUGUGUCCAGCCAUGGGCUACACAUUCAGGCUCGCUGCUCGGAAUGACAUCGGCACCAG
rnacentral:lncRNA from 1 species